CGCAAGUCGAAUAUAUUUGCACAUAUAUAUUUUUUGAAACAACAAAGCAAAAUUCCAAUUAGAAGAGAAUAUAAAGGGUACUAGACCUACAUACAAGAUAAAGAAACAAGAAAAUAGAGAAUAAAAAAUACAUCCUUAAAAAAAAAAAAGAAUAAAAAAUACAUAAAAGAACCCUCGAGUCCAGAUUAACACACCACUUAUAGAAAAGACAGUGUCCCAUUGUCUUUGUCAGAAAUCAUUUUAAGACUGUUUUAAUAAGUUCAAUCAUGCUAGGAACCUUCAUGACCGAGUCUGAAAGAACUCUUCAAUUUUUUUGUGGCUCAAAUUUCCUAAAUCAUUGAUUGUCAAAUUAAGUCUAGAACCUUCACCCCUUUUUGUUUCGUCCUGGCUAGUCUAGUUAAUUUACCAGAAACAAAGUUUCUAAAUCUCUUGGGGGUAACCAUAAAAACUCCAAGUUAUUUGCACACUUUAUACAAAAUAUUAAUCCAAACUUCGCACAAAGAAUAAAUGUUGUUCCAAUUCUUGAUUCCAAGAGCACAAACACAAGUAGUAGCAUUCAUAUCCCUAACGACCUAGUUAAAAGUUUACCUAAAAUCAACCAAGCAAAAACUAUUACACUGGAGGAGCCAAAACUUCCAUUCUUCAUGUAAUACCCAAGUGACCUCGUCAGGAAGAAAACAUAACUCUAUCUUGAUCUCCCUACUCCAAGUAAGUGGAUUCUUUCAAGUGUGAUUUACACAUGAAAGAUUAAUAUAUGAUCCGACACCAUUUAAAACGAGAAAGAUAUUUUAUUUAUUUAUUUAUAUAUUUCUCUUCCAUUUUGAAUGGUCCAAUCAUGUGUAAAUGACACAUGACAGAAUCCAAAUCCCUCCAUCAAUAC
rnacentral:lncRNA from 1 species